rnacentral:rRNA from 1 species
CAGUAGCCACGGGAAUACGUAGGUGGCAAGCGUUGUCCGGAAUUAUUGGGCGUAAAGGGCUCGCAGGCGGUUUCUUAAGUCUGAUGUGAAAGCCCCCGGCUCAACCGGGGAGGGUCAUUGGAAACUGGGAAACUUGAGUGCAGAAGAGGAGAGUGGAAUUCCACGUGUAGCGGUGAAAUGCGUAGAGAUGCGGAGGAACACCAGUGGCGAAGGCGACUCUCUGGUCUGUAACUGACGCUGAGGAGCGAAAGCGUGGGGAGCGAACAGGAUUAGAUACCCCUGUAGUCCCUGUCUCUUAUAC